UACGGAGGGGGCAAGCGUUGUUCGGAAUUACUGGGCGUAAAGGGCGCGCAGGCGGCUGCUCAAGUCAGGCGUGAAAGGCCUGGGCUCAACCCGGGAACUGCCUUUGAUACUGGGUAUCUCGAGUCCGGAAGAGGUGAGUGGAAUUCCGAGUGUAGAGGUGAAAUUCGUAGAUAUUCGGAGGAACACCAGUGGCGAAGGCGGCUCGCUGGCCCGAUACUGACGCUGAGGCACGAAAGCGUGGGGAGCAAACACG
rnacentral:rRNA from 1 species